GAAAGCCCGUUGAAUCUAUCAACAUCUGCUGAAUGCAACUCAGGCACUUUAAUUAAGCUAAAGCUUC
rnacentral:tRNA from 1 species